AGCCUGAUCCAGCCAUGCCGCGUGUGUGAAGAAGGCUUUCGGGUUGUAAAGCACUUUCAGUGGGGAAGAAGGCCUGGCGGUUAAUACCCGCCAGGGACGACAUCACCCACAGAAGAAGCACCGGCUAACUCCGUGCCAGCAGCCGCGGUAAUACGGAGGGUGCGAGCGUUAAUCGGAAUUACUGGGCGUAAAGCGCGCGUAGGCGGCUUGAUAAGCCGGGUGUGAAAGCCCUGGGCUCAACCUGGGAACGGCAUCCGGAACUGUCAAGCUAGAGUGCAGGAGAGGAAGGUAGAAUUCCCGGUGUAGCGGUGAAAUGCGUAGAGAUCGGGAGGAAUACCAGUGGCGAAGGCGGCCUUCUGGACUGACACUGACGCUGAGGUGCGAAAGCGUGGGUAGCAAACAGGAUUAGAUACCCUGGUAGUCCACGCCGUAAACGAUGUCGACUAGCCGUUGGGCUCCUCGCGAGCUUAGUGGCGCAGUUAACGCGAUAAGUCGACCGCCUGG
rnacentral:rRNA from 2 species